GAGUCAAGGGCUCACACGAAAGCCACCCUGAAGCUAUAAAGGUGAAGGCUGGUGCCACACAGGUGGGAUCCUGUGGCCCCUUCAGUCUGCUGAGGGUACACCAGUGGCCUGUUGCAUCUCACCCACUGUGUUAGGAAGACAGACAAAGCCAGAAGAAAUUUCAGUGGAGGUUCCUAAUAGUCCUGCUGUGCAAACCAGUUAUCUGACCUAAGUAUAGGGGCAAAAGUGUAAUCGAACCACUAAUAGUUGAUUCCCUCUGAAGUUUCCCUUAGGCUAGCUGGCAUGCUCACAUACAACCCACCCCCAUGCAGUUUUAUCUGAUAGAGAGAAUAAUUAACAGCGGUGAGGCUGAAACGAUCUCAAACUUCAAAUGGGUAAGAAGCGUGGCUAGCUGGCAUGGAUGUGGGUAUGGAAUGAAGUGCCUAGUGGGCCAAUUUUGGUAAGCAGAACUGGUGCCGUGGGAUGAACCAAAAGCCAGGUUAAGGUGCCCGAUGCCUGUGCUCACCAAACCCCAGGAAAGAUGCUGGGGAAAGGCCGGGAAAGUUGGAAUCAGUUUAGAGUGUGUUAAUAACAACUCACCUGCCAAAGAAAUAAAAUAACUUUAAAAAGAAAAAAGUGGAAACAGAAAACAAUCCUCCUCCCCCAAACCUCACAUUAUCGGUGAGGCUUCACAGCCUCUCCCUCUCCUGCCUACUAAGAGAAUUAUGCCUGGCCUGGCAAGGGAGCAAGAGGGGUUGGAUUGAUGGCCUUUGGAAAGAGAAGGAGAGGAAGCAAAAGGUAAGAGGCAAUCAGGUCUGGGU
rnacentral:ncRNA from 1 species